AGUGUGCCCUUUCCCUCUUGACUUCUUAGUAGUUCUGGGUAAAUAUUGAUUUGCCCCCGGUUUACCUUCUCCCUGACUAGCCAUUUGCAGACUGAGGAAUUGGGCUCUGUAAAGACUUGAUUUUUGUGUUACUUUCCGGCCAUUUCGUCCCCCACCCUCUUCUCCCUCUAAGUGGCAUUGUAAAACUCACAGUGACAAAGAGACAGGGUAGGGUUGGAAGGCUCAGUUCCUGGGGACUUGAGGGUGGUUUUACAUACGGGUCAGACAAGGCUGGAGGCCAAGGUCAAGUUGAAAGUUGCAGUCUAGUCAGCGUGAGAAAACUGCCCUGCAAGCCUGGAGACCGAGGCAGCUGUGCGGAGCGGCUGCGAAAGGCCCACUACCCAUCUCCCUUCA
rnacentral:lncRNA from 1 species